UUGUGUGUGUGUGUGUGUGUGUGUGUGUGUGUGUGUUUAGGUCUACUAGGCAAUCCUUAUAAUUUCUGAGUUUUUUAUUUUUUUAUAUGACCUAGAUUACAGAUAGAACCUUCCUUGAUUCUUCAUGGGCUCAGGCAAUCA